UUAAAGAAACUUGCCCCUUAUUAUACAUUAAAAAGGUGGUAAGCUACUAUUUUUUCUUCUAAGUAUAUGGAUUGGAAAGACUUUUAAAAAUGGGUGAUCAGAGAAAUGAAGGUUAUAGAAACAUUAUCACGACUUUCUCGAACACCUAUAGCAUUGGCCACAGGAAUCAGGCCCUUCCCAACAGAAGAAAGCAUUAAUGAUGAAGACAUCUACAAAGGCCUUCCUGAUUUAAUAGAUGAAACCCUUGUGGAAGAUGAAGAAGAUCUCUAUGACUGUGUUUAUGGGGAAGAUGAAGGUGGAGAAGUCUAUGAGGACUUAAUGAAGGCAGAGGAAGCACAUCAGCCCAAAUGUCCAGAAAAUGAUAUACGAAGUUGUUGUCUAGCAGAAAUUAAGCAGACAGAAGAAAAAUAUACAGAAACUUUGGAGUCAAUAGAAAAAUAUUUCAUGGCACCACUAAAAAGAUUUCUGACAGCAGCAGAAUUUGAUUCAGUAUUCAUCAACAUUCCUGAACUUGUAAAACUUCAUCGGAACCUAAUGCAAGAG
rnacentral:sRNA from 1 species